rnacentral:rRNA from 1 species
UGAGCAACCUGCCCUUGACUCCGGAAUAACAGCUGGAAACAGCUGCUAAUACCGGAUAUGACCUCCGAUGGCAUCAUCUGGAGGUGGAAAGCUCCGGCGGUCAAGGAUGGGCUCGCGGCCUAUCAGCUUGUUGGUGAGGUAACGGCUCACCAAGGCUUCGACGGGUAGCCGGCCUGAGAGGGCGACCGGCCACACUGGGACUGAGAUACGGCCCAGACCUCUACGGGA